rnacentral:lncRNA from 1 species
AAAUAGAUAUAGGAAGAUGUGGUGUGAGUGCAAAUGUCCAGUUGUACAAAUAAAUUCAACCUUUAAUUCAUUAGGUCAAUUUUUGAUUGAUUUCCAUAUGUCUUUUGUUAAAUGUGUUUCGGAUGAGGUCGCUAUCCAUUUAGUUCAAUCUCAAAUUAAAGUUCUAGUUUAUAUUCAGAUUUAUUUGGUAUGAAAAAGGGGAACGGCAGACAAAUAUCAUGAAAAAAGUAAUUAAAAAAAUAUCAAUAAUUCGGAAAUAAGAGGGAUAUCCCCACACCACUUAAUCCGGCC